rnacentral:rRNA from 1 species
AACGAACGCUGGCGGCAUGCCUAACACAUGCAAGUCGAACGAGACCUUCGGGUCUAGUGGCGCACGGGUGCGUAACGCGUGGGAAUCUGCCCUUGGGUUCGGAAUAACAGUUAGAAAUGACUGCUAACACCGGAUGAUGUCUCCGGACCAAAGAUUUAUCGCCCAAGGAUGAGCCCGCGUAGGAUUAGCUAGUUGGUGAGGUAAAGGCUCACCAAGGCGACGAUCCUUAGCUGGUCUGAGAGGAUGAUCAGCCACACUGGGACUGAGACACGGCCCAGACUCCUACGGGAGGCAGCAGUGGGGAAUAUUGGACAAUGGGCGAAAGCCUGAUCCAGCAAUGCCGCGUGAGUGAUGAAGGCCUUAGGGUUGUAAAGCUCUUUUGCCCGGGAUGAUAAUGACAGUACCGGGAGAAUAAGCCCCGGCUAACUCCGUGCCAGCAGCCGCCGUAAAAC